UGCAGCCGAGCGGUAGAGAUUCUUCGGAAUCUUGAGAGCGGCGUACGGGUGCGGAACACGUGUGCAACCUGCCUUUAUCUGGGGGAUAGCCUUUCGAAAGGAAGAUUAAUACCCCAUAAUAUAUUGAAUGGCAUCAUUUGAUAUUGAAAACUCCGGUGGAUAGAGAUGGGCACGCGCAAGAUUAGAUAGUUGGUGAGGUAACGGCUCACCAAGUCAACGAUCUUUAGGGGGCCUGAGAGGGUGAUCCCCCACACUGGUACUGAGACACGGACCAGACUCCUACGGGAGGCAGCAGUGAGGAAUAUUGGACAAUGGGUGAGAGCCUGAUCCAGCCAUCCCGCGUGAAGGACGACGGCCCUAUGGGUUGUAAACUUCUUUUGUAUAGGGAUAAACCUAGAUACGUGUAUCUAGCUGAAGGUACUAUACGAAUAAGCACCGGCUAACUCCGUGCCAGCAGCCGCGGUAAUACGGAGGGUGCAAGCGUUAUCCGGAUUUAUUGGGUUUAAAGGGUCCGUAGGCGGAUUUGUAAGUCAGUGGUGAAAUCUCACAGCUUAACUGUGAAACUGCCAUUGAUACUGCAAGUCUUGAGUGUUGUUGAAGUAGCUGGAAUAAGUAGUGUAGCGGUGAAAUGCAUAGAUAUUACUUAGAACACCAAUUGCGAAGGCAGGUUACUAAGCAACAACUGACGCUGAUGGACGAAAGCGUGGGGAGCGAACAGGAUUAGAUACCCUGGUAGUCCACGCCGUAAACGAUGCUAACUCGUUUUUGGGAUUUAAAUUUCAGAGACUAAGCGAAAGUGAUAAGUUAGCCACCUGGGGAGUACGAACGCAAGUUUGAAACUCAAAGGAAUUGACGGGGGCCCGCACAAGCGGUGGAUUAUGUGGUUUAAUUCGAUGAUACGCGAGGAACCUUACCAAGGCUUAAAUGGGAAAUGACAGGUUUAGAAAUAGACUUUUCUUCGGACAUUUUUCAAGGUGCUGCAUGGUUGUCGUCAGCUCGUGCCGUGAGGUGUUAGGUUAAGUCCUGCAACGAGCGCAACCCCUGUCACUAGUUGCCAUCAUUAAGUUGGGGACUCUAGUGAGACUGCCUACGCAAGUAGAGAGGAAGGUGGGGAUGACGUCAAAUCAUCACGGCCCUUACGCCUUGGGCCACACACGUAAUACAAUGGCCGGUACAGAGGGCAGCUACACUGCGAAGUGAUGCAAAUCUCGAAAGCCGGUCUCAGUUCGGAUUGGAGUCUGCAACUCGACUCUAUGAAGCUGGAAUCGCUAGUAAUCGCGCAUCAGCCAUGGCGCGGUGAAUACGUUCCCGGGCCUUGUACACACCGCCCGUCAAGCCAUGGAAGUCUGGGGUACCUGAAGUCGGUGACCGUA
rnacentral:rRNA from 1 species